rnacentral:rRNA from 1 species
UACGAAGGGGGCUAGCGUUGCUCGGAAUCACUGGGCGUAAAGCGCACGUAGGCGGAUUGUUAAGUCAGGGGUGAAAUCCUGGAGCUCAACUCCAGAACUGCCUUUGAUGCUGGCGAUCUCGAGUCCGGGAGAGGUGAGUGGAACUGCGAGUGUAGAGGUGAAAUUCGUAGAUAUUCGCAAGAACACCAGUGGCGAAGGCGGCUCACUGGCCCGGUACUGACGCUGAGGUGCGAAAGCGUGGGGAGCAAACAGG